CCAGUCCCUCCCCGCCCACCCUAACCCUUCACCGCACUCCGCGUCUCUGCUAGGACUGGAAACUGGCAGGGUAGCAGCGGAGGAGGGUGGGCGUUUGCGUGUGUGCGCGCGUGUGUAUGUGCGCGAGCGCGUGUUGUUUUUAAAACCCUUGGACCGGACUGGAUCGGUACUCAAACAUCAUAGCGAGCGCAAUGCACCUUAUCGGAGACAAAGGAAAAAGCCUCUCCAGAAGCUUUUCCGGCCCUGGCUGCGGAUGGAAAGUUGACGAGAGACAACAAAGCCUCCCUUGGCUGCCGAUCCAUUGAUUUGUAACGUUCUAGAACGCGCUGGGAGUUCUGCGCUCUGAUGGAGUAACCAGGCGUUCUACCGGAUCUGCAAUGGCAAAAGAAUUCGAGACGUGGAAGGAAGGGUGGACGAGGGAGACAAAGCAUGCCUCCAGUGUUUAAAACGGCCUCCCCUUCUUGAACUUUAAAUCUCAACCGACAUAAAUACACCCAGCAUUUUGUCCACACACGCUACAGGGACGUUUAUUCUGGUUCCGUUUUCUUUCAUGCAGCAAUUGGGACUGACUGACUGCACACUUAUGGCCCCCCUGGACUCAGUUGCGCACUUACAGCUGAGCAAAUGUGUGUACAAAUUGCAUUAUUUGGAUGUUCAGUGCGGUUCACUUUCUUCCGCUGGAGAUAGGCUGGAAGUGGUGGGGAAAUUUGCCGCUGUCUGUAGUGUGGGAUCCAAACUCAAUUCACUUGAAUUUUGUUGCUUCCCUCCGUAACCCAAAGGCCGGCUUUAAUAACUGGCGAAUUCAUCCAAUUAUUUAUGGCCAUUUACGUGGGAUUAGGGUUUAAGCGCCUUCUAUUGGAAAGCGACUUUCCGGGCGGCCUGACAGGUUCAGACUCACUUGAGAUUUGCCUCCAAGUCAGCUAUGUCACUGGGGCCGGUUUGAAUAUCUAAGAUGUGGGUUUCUCGCCUUGAAGGACCGCAUAGCGACUCCGCAAGCUUGAUUUCCACCCAAUUCCAAAAUGGCCGCUUCCUCGUAAAUAAUCAGGAUCGACAAACUCUAGGACAGUGUUAUGUUUGAUGGUAUUAAUUAGAUUCGUCAUUCAUGAUGAAUUGUGGAUGUUAAUAUAUUGAUUAAAUACAUUAUAAAGCAUACUGCGUUGCAAUGUGCACGUAUAUAUAGAUAUAUUCAGGAGAAUGUGCGCAGCAAAUAUUCGGAUUUCCCUCCUCCAGAAUCAAUUGUCUUCAGACAUUUUUAUCCAAUUUUGGAAUAAAUAUCGGAUAAUACUUUUUUUCUAGUUGAAAGGGUUUAUGGUUUAAGAUGCUCAAAAUGACUCUCCCUCCGCUAGGGCUCAAUUGAACUUAGGCUUUGCCCUUCGUUGCAAAGGUAUUGCUACUUUACCAAUAAUGUCUGCAAAUAUUUGACUUGUAUAUUUACAUUUAAAAUAAAAUAAAAUCACCAUCCCUUCUA